CCGAUGCUUUAGAGAUAAAGCGGAGGUAUUCGGGGAGACAGGUGGUGCAUCGGUUGCCGUCAGCUCGUGUCGUGAGAUGUGGGUUAAGUCCCGCACGAGCGCAACCCUAUUGCUAGUUACCAUCAUUAAGUUGGGGACUCUAGCGAGACUGCCAGUGAUAAACUGGAGGAAGGUGGGGAUGACGUCAAAUCAUCAUGCCCCUUAUGACCUGGGCUACAAACGUGAUACAAUGGCUGGAACAAAGGGAUGCGAAGCAGUGAUGUGGAGCGAAACCCAUAAAAACAGUCUCAGUUCGGAUUGAAGUCUGCAACUCGACUUCAUGAAGUCGGAAUCGCUAGUAAUCGCGGAUCAGAACGCCGCGGUGAAUACGUUCUCGGGGUUU
rnacentral:rRNA from 1 species